rnacentral:rRNA from 1 species
UAGGGAAUCUUCCGCAAUGGACGCAAGUCUGACGGAGCAACGCCGCGUGAGUGAAGAAGGAUUUCGGUUCGUAAAACUCUGUUGUUAGAGAAGAACAGCGCAUAGAGUAACUGUUAUGCGUGUGACGGUAUCUAACCAGAAAGCCACGGCUAACUACGUGCCAGCAGCCGCGGUAAUACGUAGGUGGCAAGCGUUGUCCGGAUUUAUUGGGCGUAAAGCGAGCGCAGGCGGUCAAUUAAGUCUGAUGUGAAAGCCCCCGGCUCAACCGGGGAGGGUGAUUGGAAACUGGUUGACUUGAGUGCAGAAGAGGGGAGUGGAAUUCCAUAGGUAGCGGUGAAAUGCGUAGAUAUAUGGAGGAACACCAGUGGCGAAGGCGACUCUCUGGUCUGUAACUGACGCUGAGGCUCGAAAGCGUGGGUAGCAAACAGG